GUUUCCUGAAUCAGUACCAACUCCAUGUCCGUCAAAAAUACCAAAUUAAAGAUAAAAAAAUAUUAUGUUUCGGUUUCCUGAAUCAGUACCAACUCAUGCUAUUAAUAAAGAUCAGUUUGUUAAAUUAAUCCAUUCUUCUCAGUAAAUUUUUCUGUCCUACAGGAAUUCAUUCAUUCAUCGGAUCGAAAGCUGUCCGAGAGACAACCGGGGACGUUGGAUGGGGAGAUUUAGAACGCUAAGAUUUUAUUUUUCUUAUUCGACCAAAUAAAUUAAAUCUGUAUAAUUAAAUUUCCUUUCUGCCACAGUCUCUAACUAUCAUCUUCUUCCCUUUUUUUUUCUUUCUCUCUCUCUCUUUAACCUAGCGAAAAUUUUAUUGCUUUCUGAGCUACUCAUAUGUAUCUGUAAUCUCUAAUGUCUUGGGUAAAAGAUGCCCAUUGAUUUCGGCCAUCCGGUGGCUGGGAUCGAUAGUUGGAAUUCAUUCAUUCAUCGGAUCGAAAGCUGGCUAAGAAACAACUGGGGACGUUGGAUGGGGAGAUUUAGAAUGCUAAGAUUUUAUUUUUAUUAUUCGACCAAAUAAAUUAAAUCCUUAUAAUUAAGUUUCCUUUCUCUCACAGUCUCUAACCAUCAUCUUCUUCCUUUUUUUUUUCUCUUUUACCUUGUGAACUUCUUAUUGCUUUCUGAGCUACUCAUAUGUAUCUGUAAUCUCUAAUGUUGAUAUGUUCAUAAUUUUUGUUAUUAUUAAUCUCUUUUGUUAUUAAUUUUAACUGGAACCAAUUUUUGUAGGUUAGGUUUUGGGGUUGUCGGAGUGGUUGCAAAGACGAAUUGGAAGGCAAGCUUUGUUUCUAAUGUAAUAAUAAAUUAUUAUAUUAUCCUUUUGUCAUUAUAAUCAUCUCUAUAUUGAUUUGUAAGAUGCGGAAUUCAUAAAACAAGUUAUUGUUUUGUUUAUAAGUGUUUAGUUGUAUUUAGGGACAUUCAGAGGUUGAAUUGGAGUUGUGAUCGUUGAGAAGGUUUCAUGGAUUUGCAUCUAAUUAUAGUCACCACUGAGUGCAUGAAAGGAGGUAAGUAUUCAUGGACCGUCGAAGCUUCCACGGACUGGUAAUUGUGACUCUGUUAUGUUGCUACUCUAUCAGUAUUACCAAAUAUAGAAGAGUAUUUAUUAUUUCAAUUUGCUGUAACAUAGUUUCAACGACAAGAUUUAGACUAUUCUUAGUCGUCAUAUCCAGAUAGAUUUCAAUGAGUUCAAUUUGAAAGUUGUUAGUCA